ACACUGAUACCCAACAGCACCAAGGCCACCAAAUCAAGCUUGCCACCUCUUGUUUAUAUCCUCGCUGUCUGUCCAGGGCAAGACACUGCCACCACCAAUCAGCUCUUCUCUGCUUUCCCUGGUCUCUGGAGCAAUCAAUCUCCAAAACUCAGCAUGGCAGAACACCCCCCUCCACACCCACACACCCACACACAGUCCCACCCCACCCUGCCUGGCCUCACCUGUAGACAUAGGGUCCACGCUCCCGGACUACUGGCUUCUGGCCGUUGAGGACCUCGUUUGGGUUGACCACUUCGAAGAAGUAGACAGACAAGUAGAAAGGGACGGGGAUCUCCUUCCACAUCCCGAAGGACAGGCUGCUCGGGUCUAUGCGGACAUUCUGUGGGGAGACACAGGGAGGAGUGUGAGGAGGGGCUUCCCCACUUUACGGCUCUGCAACAGCUGCCUGAGACUUGGCCUGCGCCAUGGACCCUCCAAGGCUCAUCUGGAAGGGUGUCUGGGGUGGUCUGAAUGAGAAAGGCCCCACAGGCUCAGAUAUUUGCAGCUUAGCCUUUAGUUGGAGAACGGCUUGGAAGGAUUAGGAGGUGUGUCGUUGUCGGAGGAGGCGUGUCGCUAUGGGCAGGGAUUAGGGGGUGUGUCGUUGGAGGAGGUGUGGCCUUGUCGGAGGAAGAGGCGUGUCUUUGUCGGAGGAGGUGUGGCCUUGUUGAAGGAGGCUAGGAGGAAGAGGUGGACCAUUCCCUGACCUGGGACCUCUGCUAAUGCCACAGAGCUAAGAGUCACCACCCCCAGCUCAUCAGAGAUAGCAGUGUCCAAAAGCCAAACAGCUUUGACUUUGAACUCGACCUGCCAGGACAAAGACAACCACCCCACUGUCCCCAAACAGCCAGAAACAACAGGCAGAGGCUCCAGGGGAGGUGGCAAGCCAGAACUGGCAGGUCAAGCCCAGCCCCACGUCAGAGUAGACUCCGAGGCAGGCGGACACUGGGCCACACUCUCUCAGGCCUAGCUUGGCUCUCUGGGCCUGGGGUUUGUCCUUGAGUACUGCAAGGCCGGAGUCAUGAAAGCCAUGGCUGGGUCUGGCCUGUCCUCCUCGGGACCCACUGAAAGAAAAAUCCCCUGCUGAGUCCACCUAAGAGAUGUCCUGCCGCACCUUCCGUUGGUCACCCACAGCCUGAACAUCUGGCAAAAACAGAGAGGCAUUUCAAGACCCUGGCACCCUUAGGCAGCUGUGACUCCUGCAAACUACCCUGCAGCUUAUCAGCCUGGUAAGAUCUGCCCACGGACGCAUUAGUGGCACGGAUAUUAUGGGUUUAGCCAAUACUCUCUGACUGGAUUUAAGGCCUUCUCCAUAGGACGAAAAACAUGCCCGAUACUAUAAAUCUGGCUGAGAAUCAAAUGGCUGAGACAGGCUCUGGGGGUGCUGUUCCCCCAUGACCCCAGAACUACUAUUUUGCUUACUGCCACACAGUGUAAAACUGCCCCUACAAUAUGUAUAUGGGCCACAGCAAUUGGAUUGAGUGGGUAAAUAAGGGGGAAAAAGAAAAGACAAGAAGAAAGUACUGGCUGUGGUGGCACGUGACUUUACUUCCAACGCUUGGGAGGCAGAGGCACAAGGAUCUAUGUGAGUUUAAGACCAGCCAGCACUAUCUAGUGAGAUCCUGUCUCGAAGGGGUGAACAAAACCAAAACCAAAACCAAAAUGGAUAUAAAAUCAGGAGUGGCCUGUAGGGGGAUCUGGGAGGAGUAGCAAGCGUGUAUCAUUGAAAUACGUUGUAUGAAUGUUGUGGUUCUCAAAGACUGAAUAAACGAUUUUACAUUUAAAAGAAGAGAAGACAUAGAUGCAGCUCAGUGGAAAAGAGCUUACCCAGCCCGUGCAAGGCCCUGGGUUCAAUCCCUACCACCACAACCAAAUCAACACAUGGUGGAAAACUAAAAAAAAAAAAAAAUUAAGAGCUGGCUCUCGGGGUGCACGCUGUUGGAGCACACGCCAGUCACUUUAGCGCUCAGGCAGCUAAGGCAGAGGGUUGACUGGCUUUCUGAGGCCAGCCUUGCUGCAUGGCAAUCACCCGCUUCACAACAGCAAGAGGACAAAACAAAGACAAAACAGGCUUUGCCAGGAAAAGGUCCCAGGAGGGUGUUCCAGCAAAGGCUGGCCUGCCGAGCAAGCGUGCGGGGCUCCGUGUCCACCCAUGACAGGAGUGUUUAUAAACCGAGACUCUAGGAAACAUCUGUGGAGCUGCUGGGAGAUUACCAACCUGCCUCUGCCAACACGAGACAAGUCCCACGGGUGCUCAUGGCUCCACUCGUGUGUGUGUGACCUGGUGGAUUAAAUUAGAUCCAUCCCCAGCCCUGAACAAAGUGGGCACAGUGCCCACCUCUGCCACCCCAGCCCUCCAGAAGCACAGGCAGGAGGAGCAGGAGUCCCAGGCCAUCCUCAGCUACAUAGUGAAUUCAGGGCUAGCCUGGGCUACGUAAGACCAUCUCAAAAAGAAAAAGGGAGGGGAAGGGGAAGGACUCAGUAUACUACUGGGGGAGAGAAUACAGAAGGAAAUAUGCACAGGGCGUUGUGAGUCCUACUGUGAGAAAUUCCAGAAUAAACAAGGCUGGCGUGUCUCAAUAAAGGUUUUUAUAUUCUUUUAA
rnacentral:lncRNA from 1 species